rnacentral:tRNA from 1 species
CACCGCGUAGCUCAGUUGGAAGAGCAUUGGGCUAGUAUUCCAAAGGUCGUAGGUUCGACUCCCACCGUGGCCG